UUCAAGAAGGUGUUAGUGUAUUAUUUACGUAAAAGAUGAAGUGUGUUGCAGUUUUUUCCAUCUUAUUGUAUAUCUGCUUCCUUCAGCUUAAUUGUGCUAAUGGGGCCCCCUUUCCGGAACCAUCACCCGAUGGUUUACUUGGUGGUACGUAUCUGGACAUUCGAAGUAUGAGAAAAACAUGCUAGCGCAGUCGAGUAGACUGAACUACCACUCAUCAUUCUUAUUCCAAGACCUUCACAAAUUUCUGAUUGUUUUUAUAGGGACUCCCUAACACAAAAGGAAGUAGUUUUAAAUUUUCUUAUUGUUUACUUCAGUUGAGAUCAAAUAUUAACAACAAUAACAAUUUGUUAUUAAACACUUCGGUGGAACAUUUUUAAAAGAAAGGUAACAAAUAGGUAAAACGUUACACUUAUAAAUAUUAUUGAGGUGAAACUUCUUUACGUACGGUAGGGUAAGUUCGUUUCAUGCGAGUUGCUAUGUAACG